rnacentral:rRNA from 2 species
GUGAAUUAGCGGCGAACGGGUGAGGAACACGUGAGAAAUCUGCCUUCAACACUGGGAUAACUCCGGGAAACCGGGGCUAAUACCGGAUAUGAAAUCUGCGGGCAUCCGCGGAUUUGGAAAGUUUUUCGGUUGAAGAUGAUCUCGCGGCCUAUCAGCUUGUUGGUGAGGUAAUGGCUCACCAAGGCGACGACGGGUAGCCGGCCUGAGAGGGCGACCGGCCACACUGGGACUGAGACACGGCCCAGACUCC